UGGGUUUGACAUAUACCGGAAAGCCGUAGAGAUACGGCCCCCCUUGUGGUCGGUAUACAGGUGGUGCAUGGCUGUCGUCAGCUCGUGUCGUGAGAUGUUGGGUUAAGUCCCGCAACGAGCGCAACCCUCGUUCUAUGUUGCCAGCACGUAAUGGUGGGAACUCAUGGGAUACUGCCGGGGUCAACUCGGAGGAAGGUGGGGAUGACGUACCAAGGUUGGUU
rnacentral:misc_RNA from 1 species